UGCGUGGCUGAGCGGUAAAGCAGUGGGUUCUCCUACAGCUGACACAGGUUCGAAUCCUGAUAGGAAAA